GACGAACGCUGGCGGCGUGCCUAAUACAUGCAAGUAGAACGCUGAAGGAGGAGCUUGCUUCUCCGGAUGAGUUGCGAACGGGUGAGUAACGCGUAGGUAACCUGCCUGGUAGCGGGGGAUAACUAUUGGAAACGAUAGCUAAUACCGCAUAACAGUAGAUAUCGCAUGAUAUCUGCUUGAAAGGUGCAAUUGCAUCACUACCAGAUGGACCUGCGUUGUAUUAGCUAGUUGGUGAGGUAACGGCUCACCAAGGCGACGAUACAUAGCCGACCUGAGAGGGUGAUCGGCCACACUGGGACUGAGACACGGCCCAGACUCCUACGGGAGGCAGCAGUAGGGAAUCUUCGGCAAUGGACGGAAGUCUGACCGAGCAACGCCGCGGGAGUGAAGAAGGUUUUCGGAUCGUAAAGCUCUGUUGUAAGAGAAGAACGAGUGUGAGAGUGGAAAGUUCACACUGUGACGGUAUCUUACCAGAAAGGGACGGCUAACUACGUG
rnacentral:rRNA from 1 species